AUGGUUGAUAAGGGAUUCUUUGCAGAUGCUACCACCACUGAAUUAGUAUUACAUUUAUCGCGCAAUAACGAUCUCAUUUUGAGAAAAUUAAAAAAUUGUUCUGAAGAUUCGAAAGAUGUAAAUGUGAAGUGAGAUUUUGGAAAUCAUCACCUAACUAAUAGAUGCAGAGGUCUUUGUUAUGUUGCGAGUUAUUGGUACGUGAAUCUAUUUCACGAGUAAAAUUACAAUUGUCCUUGCAGUUGUGUUUGCUUUUGGCAAGAAAUUGUUUGGUAGUACUAACAUCAUGUUAACAUUAAUGAAUUUGUUUUAUUGCUAUGUUAUUUUGAAAGAGUCAAGUAACUCCAGUUUCCUAUAUAUAGUGAGUAGAAUGGCUACCCUCCAUAAAGGUUUCCAAUUCGUUAGUAAGAUGUUUUGGUUGCUG
rnacentral:misc_RNA from 1 species